CAAGUAGAGUACUACGUAGCAGCUCUGUGUCAAAGUUAUAAAAGCAUCGAGCGUCUCGGCCACGCCUUGUGGCGAGUUGGGAGUUGGAUUUGCAAGUGAGUGUAGGACGGUUAGCGGUAGUUCAGCAUUAGCAUAUAGCAUUAGCAUAUCCUAGUCUUUAGCAUAGUUUUUAGUGUUAUAAAUACAUAUUUAGUGUUAGUUUGGCUGUUGGAUAUUGUAGUUUAGUUGGUCUUUGGCUGUUAGUGUAAUUAGGAAAGUAGUUUGGGUUUAGUGCUCCAUAUCGUGUUAGUAUGGUGAGAAGGUGUAGUGUAGUAUGGUUGCGGUGGCUCUGUGGGGUUGCACUCCUUUCCGCUGGACAAAUUAGGCGCCAGUGGUAGCACGCAAUCGGUGUCUGGAAAAUAUUCAGCUCCCGCCUGGUGCUGUAGUUUGCAACCAGCAUUUUACCUGCGAUUCUGCACGUCUCCGUUUGAAGAGGGAGGCUGUGCCCACCGUGGCUCUUCCGCGAUUUAGAUGCAGCCCACCGCCUCUGCUCCCCCACCAUGGCGGGCUCCAGUCUGAGGUGAGUAACCUAAAUAAAAGUUUUGACAUCUUCUAAAGACAAUUCCCUACCUAAAUGCAAAGUCUGAGAGACGUGGUUCACUUCCUUUAGCUAGUCAGUCGGUAAUUCUGCAACAGUGUCUCUAACUAACGCAGCACUAGUUGACAGACAGCAUUACAGCGUGAAAUCCAGCUUGUGACCCGGUUCUGUAAGGAAUUCUGUUCAGGGGGUCGCAUUUCAGGCUCUCCACAUCAUAUGUGACUGACUUUUACGUUAUAACAACGAUCACACACUAGGAAUGUUAUAAAGCGCCUAUAUAGGACAGUUUCUUUUGUAUAUUAUCUGACUUUAUAAACUCCCAACAACAAUGUAUUUCUAUUUCUUUUGUCAGGCAAAAUCUACCCAAGACACUGGCUGUCAUACUGAUUUAGAUGCAACAAUGCACUUGUCCAGGCUGACGUGAAGCCUUACCCAUAGCAAAGGUGAAUUAUUUUUAAUAAUCUUCUAUGUAAACAUUUUACUUCUAGUUUUAAUUAGUUUUACAGAUUAUUGUUACACGUGAUUUUAUGCUCUUUUAAACAUUUAUAAAUGUGCUGCUACUUUGUUUUUACAUAGUCAGCCAGAAUAGAGCUCACAGCCGCAGUGUGUCUUGUGACACAGGGACCAUGACGGAAAUUCAUCUUCCAGAAAGUCCGAGAGCAGCGUCCACACCCCUGAAAAGACCAAGAUGUGAGGUGUCUGCUGUUGAUUCCAGCUUCCACCUCAGUGACAGUGCAAGCUCAGUGAACUGUUCAAGGAGGCUACUGAUUCUGCUCCUGUGACACUUGGUGGUGACGUGUGAGCUGAUUCACCUGGACACUCAGCAAAAUAUGGACUCUACACCAUGAGGCAGGCACACGUUAAUACUCUAUAAGAGCACAUAAGCCUGGCUGAUCACCUGAUAACUCCUGUCAUCUGGUUGUGACAGCAUGAGGAUGUCCUCACACACCUGUAACCUAUCAGCUCAUCUGGCAGAAUAGAGAGAGAAGAGACAACACCACAUCUCCUGUUCCUGGAAAGCCUUCAGCCAUCCUUCGAUGACUGAGAACCUCCAUCAGCUCUGUCUCCUGUCUGCCUACAAUUAUUAUAAUAAAUAUUGUGUUUGACAAGUUU